rnacentral:piRNA from 1 species
UAAACUGACAGCAAGCAGUAGGUCUCACACU